AUAUCCAAAUGUGUUGCUCACUGGGGAACAAUAGAUUAAAAUUUUCUCAUCACUUGUGCAAAUAACAUCUGUUUCUCUCCAGAAUACUACAAAAGCUUCCCAAACAACCUCUGCUUCUACCCUUGGUCUCUUGCCGGCUCUUACUCUAAGAUUUAUUUCAAAGAAACCCUGCGGAAUGUCUAAAUUGCAUCAUAUCUUCCCUCUGCCACCAACCUUCCAGCAAUUCCCCAUCUCCUGCAGCUCAGAGCACAAAGCCAUCCUCGAUACCUAUAAGGUCCAGUAAAACCUGCAGCCUUCCUGUUUUCCCUACCACUCUGACUUCGGCUCCUAACCCUCUCCUGGCCUGCAGCCACACUGACCACCUUGGUGUCCCCAAUGCAUGAGGUGUUAUCUUGAAUCAGGACCUGGCUGUUCUUUUUGCCUGGAAAACUCUGAAACAUCCUGCUCCUGGAUAUCCACCUAGUGACCUCUUUCACCUCUGUCAAGGAUUUGCUGCAAUGUCUUCUUCCCCGUGAGUUCUCUGCUUUACCGUGGCAAGUUCUUCCUGCUCAUGGCACUCCCAGUACCCUCUGCCCUGCUGUAUUUUGUCCAUAGAUCUUAAUAUCUUCUUAAAUGCUAUAUGUUUUACGUAUUUAUGUAUAGUUUGUAAUCUCCCUUUACUGGAAUCUAAGCUCAUAUGUACAGUAGUCUUACCUGCUGUAUCUCAAUAGCAUACAACAGAUGCUGGCACAUAAGAGGUGCUAAUUUAAUAUUUUUUGAAUGAAGAAAUGACUGAGUGAAUGAAUGAGCAGCGAUUCUAUUAUCUGACUUUGCUGUGGCACUUAGGAGCUCACUGGACAAUCUCAGUUUUGCUUGGGAAUGUAUUGCAAGAAGUGACAGCUGCUGAUCGUGGGCCUGGGCAGGCAGUCUGCUUGCUACAGCUGAUGAUGCUUAGAGCUGGGCCUGGUGUGAGGUGUCCUCCUCCCGCCACUGCCUCAGGAGCUUCUCAUGUUCUGUGAUCAGAAUCAGUCAUCUUGGACGCAUUGUGCAGACCCAUUGUUUGGCAUUCAGCUGUUGUUUUCUGUCUGUAUCAUUGGCCUUUCUUCGGUCUCUGACCUUGCUUCCGAAGACCCCUCCACUAGAUCGCUAAUCCCCCAUUGCUCUGCACCCGUAACCAGAUAGUAAUGCCUCCCGGAGUCCUUUUCUCAGGUCAGUCCUGGACUUGCCACCACUGGGGAGGAAAAGUUGGAUAUUAGAUACGUUGCUCUAGUUUUAAACAACCAAGGGGAAAAUGGAGGGCUGGCUGAUUUAUUUAUGGAAUAAACAAACUCAGAUUCAGAUGAUGAUGGGUUAUCCGGAUAAUUCAGUUUCUAGGUUUGUUCUCCCAAAUUAUCUAGACAUUUAACAUUUCAAGUAAAACCCAGAAGAUAAUCUCAUCAUCUUUCACUUUUCUCCAUAUGGUGGUAGUUUCUCAAGAUGAAAUAUGACUAUUUGCUUUCCUGAAGAGCAAAUGUCAAUCUUGUACAUAAAGUACUUUGUGCUGAAAUAGGGCACUGUGGACUUCUUGUGACUAAUUGAAAGCCAGGAAAUGCAAAUUAAGUUAUAAUAUUUAAUCAUUAGAGAAUGAAGAAAUAUGAGUUGAGGCUUUCUUUACAUUAUUCAAAUCCUUGGAAUGAAUCACAAUUGAUUCAUGGUCCAGUUAUCUUAUUCCUAAAGGACUGAAAUCUUGAUUUCAAAAUUGACAAGAGUGUAAAAGAGAAAGCCCUUUGGAAAGCCAGAAUCCUUUUCCUACCGCUCUAGCAAUGAUCUUGCAAAGGGCUAAUGAUACAUCAUCAGAUUUACAGAGCAACACAAUUAAGAGCAUCUCAUUUGGCUCUGCUAAUAUGCUUAAUGUCUAUGAGGGGGAAAACAUGUCACAGUUCCCAUUCUUUAGAAAGAGUAGCACAGAGCCCUUGUAGAAACCUGGCCCCUCAGAUCAUUUCCACAACAGUGAGCUCCUGGUUUUGAUUCCUAGUUCACCAAGAAGAUAACUUAAAAGCAAUAAAGACAUGAGAGAAGGCUCUGGGAAGUGGGGAAGGACUGCAGAAAAGGAAGAGGGCAAGACUGAGUCAUCAGCAACAGAAACAUUCCCUAUGAACAUUUACCUGGAAUGUACUACAUAAGUCUGGACAUACAAUAGGACUGAGAAUAAUAAUUGCAGUAAUUGUUCUGUCUUCCGGGAGCUUAUAUUGAGAUAUAGGGCAUAAAUAAACAUGAAAGUAAAUGGCAACACAAAGUAGAAAGGCUAGGUAUAUGCUGACCAUAUUUUUCAAAUGAAUACAGUGGACCCUCGACUUGCGAACUCAAUUUAUUCCUCAGGACUAGUUGUAACUCAAAUUGGUCAAUUGCCUUCAAAGUCUCUUUCCUGUAUAAUUUUAGGCCACACUUUCUUCCAGGAAAAUCUCAAUGUCCUUAGACAUUGGCCCAGGAUUUCUCAAUUAACCCUGCUCAGGAAAGGAUGUUGUCAUGUUCCUUCCAGAACUCUUUAAGAAUUAAAUCUGUAUCUGAGACCAUCUGGAAGCACAAGCAGCUGGCAUUCAGAACUUCUGUGUUGCCUCCAACUCAAGCCAGACCUGUAUCUCUUCUCCUCACCUCCACGGCCAACUCUAGGCUCUUCCUAUAUAGUCCAGAGUGGUCUUGAACUCACUAUAGAGCCCAAGCUGGCUUUGAACUCAUGGCGCUCCUCUUGCCUCAGUCUCUUGAGUGCUGGGAUUACAAGCAUGAGGCCUGCAGUGUUGCAGAAACAUCAUGGCGGAAGGGUGUGGCAGGUGAAAGCUGCUUACCUCAUGGUAGCCAGGAAGUGGAGAGAGCAAGAAAGGAAUCAGUGAAGAAGGAGGAUGGACCAUCCUGCCUCUUUUAAAUGCAGGACACUGGAGUGAAAAUAUAAGAAGUAGACUGGGGUACCAACACGGUCCAGUUAUCAUCUGGUACUGAUUGAUCUACCAACCUGCAAAAAAGCAAUCAAUUAAUAUAUCAACAUAUGCUAUAAGAGAAAAUCUCUGUCUUUAUAAUACUGUUAUGUAAUCUUUCAAACUAUAUUUAAUCUAUUUUAACACAAUCAUUUAAAUUUCCACAGCAUAUUAUUAUACUAUCAACCUGUAAUUUAAGAUUCUUUUGCAACCUGCAUUCAUUGUUGGUUAUAUUUUCACAGUUAAGGGAUUAUAACCAAAUGAUAGCUGGCCAUGGGAUAGAGGAUGGAGCAAGCAUGCAAGAUGCUAAAUUGGAUUAAAGUAUUAAACUCAGUUUGUGAAUGCAUACUAAAUAUAUUUGCAUUCAGGUUAAGAUUUUAAAGUGCAGAAGGUUCUUCUAAUGCAGCAAACAAUGAAAAGUAUAAAUGGAAAGGCGUUCAGCCCAAAUGAAUCACCACACAAAAUGAAAAAAUAGAAACACCCACAGAUUUCAUUAUUUUAAGAAAAAAAUACUUCCUUACAGUAGAGAACAAUCAUAUAUUGGAAAUAGGAUGGAAGAAUGGAGCAGUUUUCUUGUGACAAUGAUUUAACAAUGCUCUUAAAACCUGUGCACUUGUAUACUAAGUUCUAAAAUGUUACAGUGUUGAGUAAAACCAUUAAAACCAAUAACUUUGUUUCCUUUUUCCUAUUAGAAAUACUUCUUUACUGUAGAAGAUAAUAGGUGAACAAAAAGAAAAACCGAAAAACCACCAUAACCCCACCACUCAGAAAUAACUACCAUAAUACUUCCAUAGCAUUAUUAAGAUUCACAUACCAUUCAACUCACAUGUUUAAUGUAAACAAUUUAUUGAAAUUAUUUUAAAAUAUUGAAUAUUUAAUUUAUUGAAAAUAUUUACUAUAUUUUCAGAGAUGUAUAAUCAUUACCACCUAAUUUAGAACAUUUUAUCACCCCCAAAAUAAACACAUUAACAGUCAUUUCUCAUUUCCCCCAACACAUAUUCCCCAGCUACUCAGCCCUAAGCAAAUACUAAUGUACUUUCUAUAUCUCUAGAUCUGCAUGUUCUGGACAUUUCAUAUAAAUAAAAUCACAAUGUGUGGUCUUUCAUAACUGCCUUUUUUCAUUUAGCAAAAUGUUUUCAAGAUUUUGUCAAUGUCCUUUCUUUUUUUGGCAGUACUAGGAAUUAAACCCACGGGCACUCUGCUACUGAGCUACAUCCCCAGCCCUCUUUAUUAAUGGUAUUUUAAACAGAGUCUGGCUAAGUUGUCCAGGCUGGUCUUGGGCUUGCAGUCCCUCUGCCUCAGCCUCCUGAGUAGCUAGAAUCACAGGUGGGUGCCACCGUACCCUUCAAGAUUUAGCCAUGUUGUAACUCCUAUCAGUAGUGAAGACUUCAUUGCUGUAUGAUAUUCCAUUGUGUCUAUUCAGUGUAUCUUGUUUCUCUAUUUAUUUUGAACUUUGGGUUGUUUCCACUUUCUGUCACAAAUAACGCUGCUGUGAAUAUUCAUGUGCAAGUUUUUGUUGAAUUUGUUGUCAAGUCUCAUGGAAUCUAGGAGUACAAGGUCUGGGUCACAUGGUAACCAUAUGUUUAACAUUUUUGAGGAAAUGCUAGAUUAUUUUACAAAUAGCUAUGUUACUUUGCAUUCCCAUCAGCGAUGUAUGAUGGUUCAGAUUUCUGCACAACUUUCCACACUUGUUACUGGAGAGGGAGGGGGAGAGCGCUAUCCUAGUGAAUUUAACAUGGUAUCUAAAUUUCUUUUUAAUUUGCAUUUUCUUAAUGACAAAUGAUGUUGAACAUUAUUUCAUUUGCUUAUUAUCUAUUUGUAUAUCUUCUGUGGAGAAAUGUCAAAUCAGAUCCUUUGCCAUUUAAAGAAUUGGGGCAUUUUUCUUUUUACUGUUGAGUCUUAAAACUUCUUGUAUAUUCUGUACACAAGUUCCUUAUCAGCUACAUGAACUAUAAAUAAUUCCUCUCAUUCUCUGAGUUGUCUUCUUUCUUGGUGUUAUUAUCUGCAACCCAGAAGGUAUUAAUUUGAUUAAACCCAAUUUAUCUAUUUUUACCUUUGUCUCAUACUUUCAAUAUUGUAUCUAAGAU
rnacentral:lncRNA from 1 species